CCUUUAGGAGGAGUAUAACUGUUGGAAACGACUGCUAACACUCCAUAUGUCGAGAGAUGAAAUAAUUUAUUGCCUAAAGAUGAGCUCGCGCCUGAUUAGCUAGUUGGUGAGGUAAUGGCUCACCAAGGCCACGAUCAGUAGCUGGUUUGAGAGAACGAUCAGCCACACUGGGACUGAGACACGGCCCAGACUCCUCCGGGAGGCAGCAGUGAGGAAUUUUCCGCAAUGGGCGAAAGCCUGACGGAGCAAUACCGCGUGAGGGAUGAAGGAUUUUGGUCUGUAAACCUCUUUUCUCAAGAAAGAAGUUCUGACGGUACUUGAGGAAUAAGCAUCGGCUAACUCCGUGCCAGCAGCCGCGGUAAUACGGGGGAUGCAAGCGUUAUCCGGAAUCAUUGGGCGUAAAGCGCCUGUAGGUUGUUUAAUAAGUCUGUUGUUAAAGACUAGGGCUCAACCCUAGGAAAGCAAUGGAAACUACUAGACUUGAGUAUGGCAGGGGUA
rnacentral:rRNA from 1 species